rnacentral:lncRNA from 1 species
CUGCUUUUCCCUCCCCCUCGUACCUCACAACCUCACUCCGCUCAGCUGGUAUCCCCUUGUCUGGCCAAAAAUAUCCCCUUGUCUGGUCUCGUCUCGUCUUCACAAUCACAAGGCAGCAGCUGGGAAGGCAAAUGCCAAGGCAAGCUGUUAGCAGCUAGCAGGUGUGGGUGUGGACGGUAACCGGCAGCUGCGGUGUGGUCGUGUGGUGCGGUUGAUCUAUCCAGUAUCCGCCCCGCGCGCUUCUCCGCCAACCAAACCCAACUCCCUCCCCUCCCCUCACCGGCAACCUCUUCUUAUCCCAUCCCAAGGGAGCCCGCCGUCCUCCCCACCAGCCACUCCUUCCCACCACUUCCCAGCCUCCCCACCCCAGCAUAGCAAAGGACUAGCAAUGUCGGCGCUCGGCGCCCUCUCCGGCGGCGCCGCCGGUGUCGCUGGCCUCCUCAGCCUCCGCCGCCGUGCAGCCGCGCCACCACCACCCUCUGCGCUCGCCUCCUCGUCGCACCUCCCGCCGCUUAAGUGCGCCGCCGUUCCCGAUGCCGGCCACCUCGUCUGGGGCCGCCAGCUCCGCCCGGCGCUCGCCCUCCUCCCGUUCCCGUCGCAGGCCGCCAGGAAGCAGACCCCACGCCCGCCCGCCGCCGCCUCCGCAGGG